rnacentral:misc_RNA from 1 species
AUGCAAUUGGUGCCCUAAAAGCAAAACCCCAAGCGAUUCGGCGUUGAUCAUUAUAGUGAGAUUGAGCUAUUCAUUAAUAAUAAUUAUUCAAAAACUUCAGAGAAUUGAAUCUUAAAAGAGGCUUGGACUUGAGCUUCGAGAGAGAGGCAGGAAUCAGACUUGGCGGGCUUAAUUUCAAAGGUUGAAUGAAGAGAUUACACAGGAAUUGAAGAGAAUUAAUUUGGAGAUUAGGGUUAGGGUUAGGGUUAGGUUUGGGUGUAAACAAGAAGAGGCGUAGCCCCUGUCCUUUUGUAAGAGGUCAGCCGUUAUUGAAGGAAAGAGGCAAAGCGAAAGGAGAGUUUCAGGUACAGCGGGCCAUCGCG